rnacentral:lncRNA from 1 species
AUCCCCACUCAGAAGUUGUAGCCAUGCUUUUAUAAAAUGUUAGGGACAAGCUACAUGUUCAUCCUACUUGUGUCUUAAUCUGUCUUUGCUGGCACAGUAGUCUUGGGAAGAAUGACUAGCACACAACUCUAACAUCACAAGCCUGAUCCCAUGAGCUGCUGUUUAUCCAAAACUUGAGCAGGGAUAUUAAGGCAGGAAAUCAUGGAAUUCCUAGUAUCACCAAAUGAAGACAUACUGAAUGAAUUGUGUCACUACUGUAAUAAUAAGACAUCACUCUGUUAUUGCAUUUUUUAUGUCAUUUUAGACUAUGCGUACUACCCAUGGACCAGCAGGGCAGACACUUCUUCCCGAGAGGACAGGGCAUCCCAAGGUGCUAUCUUAACUUGUAACUGGAGAGAGAACAAUGCUGAGAGCUCAGCUACUGGGAAGGAGAAGAAAGACACUUUGUUUCAGAAGCAGCUUCUGUGCUCGAAUCACCAGAUCCUACUGCUGCUUUAUUUCAGUUUGUCACUUCAGUGCCAGGAAUAUCUGCAAGCUUAAUGAAAUGUGCACAGAAGACCCAGAAAAAAUGGAUAUAAAG